CACCCAUGUUGGAUCCCAUCUCUCUCAUCCUCCUCGAUCCGCUUUCUCCACCCCACGCCGCCACCAGAUUCCAGCGAUCCCCGCUGUUCCCCAUCGCCCAGCUCUCCUCCCCUAGGUCACCUCUCCCCGCUCACCAUCUCCACCGACCGAUUUCUCUCCUCGCCCAGGAGAGCCACGCCCAGGCACUGGUGGUGGUGCACCACGAGGAGACCCCAGCAGCGUCGAGCUGCUGCUGCUGCGGGCACAUCGACAUGCUGGGGAGGAGCUACGUCGGGAUGCUGCUCCUGCACCGAGCUACUGCUGCUGCGGGCAUGACAACGAGCCGGGGAGCAGCUGCUGCUGCGGGCGCGGCAUCUCUCCUUUCCCCAAAUCCCCAUCCGACGCAUCCCUCUCCAGCCUCAAGCCGCUGCCCUGAGCUCCCCUACAGGCCGGCGACACCACUCUGUUUAGGAGUCACGCAUGUGGCCGGCAUAGCAUUCUGGUCACCAACUGCCCUCCAGGUGUGAGCUGUUUUGCUCGUGGACAAUCUCAUGUGUUGGAUCUACAUUGGAUGGCAGAUAAGAGGAGUGGGAGCUUGCAGCAGCAGAUUUGACCCCUUCCCAAUGAGCUGCAGGUCGUAGACGAGGUCCCGGCCGAGUUUGGUGUGAUGAAUCACUAGGACAGUAUAGCAAGGCCGAGGUAUCCCUCCUCUCAUUCCUUCCCCUUUCUACCACCUAAGGAGUGAUUAUAGUGUAUGCUGCACAGAAGUUUCCAAAGUUCAUGCUUAGCUGAUAUCUUUUGUUAACUGAAUAGUUUGGUGUGAUGAAUCACUAGGACAGUAUAGCAAGGCGGCUCUUAAAAAAGGUCCCUUCUUUGAUUAUAAAUCCUAAACAGAUCAUAAAUUAUGAGCAAAGAACCUUCCAUGAUCCCCAUCACAGAGUUUUGUUUUUGUUCCCUUGCAUUGAUAUGCAAAAUAUAUGCAUCGCUAAGAAUUUUGCGUUAAGUUAAUUGUUUGUUGUGAUGAAUCAUAAGGACGAUAUCCGAGUAUGCUGGCUCUUGAAAAAGGCCUCCUUCCUUGAUUAUAGUAAUUCCUAAACUGGUCAUAUAGUCUGGGCAACCUGCACAAAUCUGAAUUUAUGUUUUGGAAAACCAUGUUUCCUAUUUAAAUUCUACUAGUCAUUGCUCUAUGCUUUAAUAUUGGGUAUUAGGACAUGAUCAUGCUCCUAUGGUUGUUCUAUUUGAUAAGACUUGAACAUGCUUAUUUUAGUUUAGAUAUCCAUCUAUGCUACCAUUCUGUCCAUUUGGAUGUUAUGCACUUACAAUUAUACAUUAUGUAAAUCCAUAUUUCAGUUGCAAUGUAUAGCUUGAUUCACACUUGUAGCAGCCAUGCAAGAUAAAAGAAAAUAAAUCUAGAUUCUUACCCUUUCCCUUGAUAUAUUCUCCUUGUUGAACAAACAAACAGUUUUCGAUGAACUGACAUUUCACCAUUCUGCUGGUUGGAUGCUUGUUGCGUAUAUUUAGAAUAAGCGUAAGUGCUUGUAUCUUGCUACUAUGAAAGUGGUGAUGUUUUUAAUGAAGUGAUGCAGGCUGCAGUGGCAUGCAACAUGUAUUCAUUGCAAUAUUUUCAUAUUUGUGGAGAUUGGUUAGUAUUUUGUGGUUGAUGGCUGUAGCUGGCUUUUCCUCCUAAAAUUUACAUGUGGUGGGAACAGAGUACAUGUGCCAUAAAAUUCACUUUUUCUCCUAACAACUUAUACUUAGCACUUUGAUCUUUGUAGAAAAAACCUUGCUGGGUCCAAAGUUGUCCAGAUGCAUGCUGAAUGAUGGCUGAGAUAUGGUGCGAAAUGGAAUAGAAAGAAAAUUCUUGUGCCUGCAGGGAGCGGAACUGAAUAUGAUCGGGGGGUCACAGUCAAGAGAGAGCUUCCUUGGCGUGCUACCAAAGGGAAAUGCCACUAUCAUGGAAGUAAAAGAGAUGGCCAUUUAAUUAGGCUAGGCUCACAAGUAGCUGGAUUUUUUGUGCGUGAAGAGGCAUCAGUGAUUUUUUUAGCAGUUUAUAAUGGUACUAGCCCCCUGUGCUUGUGGGUGCAGUGCCCUAAUUGCAGAAAAAUACCAGGUGCAAGUGUGGUGCUGGUUCUCUCCUUUGGCUCUUUGGUAUUGGUUCUCUCCUUUGGCUCCUUGUAAUAUGUGUUGGAUAUGUGUUCAUGGAUAUGUGUUGGAUAUAUAUGUGUUCAUGACUAUUGGUAACAUGUGUUGGAUAUGUGUUCAUGGCUA